rnacentral:snRNA from 1 species
AUCGCUUCUCGGCCUUUUGGCUAAGAUCAAAGUGUAGUAUCUGUUCUUAUCAGCUUAAUAUCUGAUACGAUCCCCAUUGGGGAUCUACGAUAUUAAACUGAUUUUUGAACUUGGGGGAAGAUGCAGGAGCUUGCUCCGACUUCCCCGCGGGUUGGCUCUGUAUUGCAGUACUUCAGAGAUUGGCCCACUCACC